GAUCCCUGGCUCAGGACGAAACGCUGGCGGCGUGCCUAAUACAUGCAAGUCGAGCGGAAUGAUGAAGAAGCUUGCUUCUUCUGAUUUUAGCGGCGGACGGGUGAGUAACACGUGGGCAACCUACCUUGUAGAUUGGGAUAACUCCGGGAAACCGGGGCUAAUACCAAAUAAUCCAUUUUGCUUCAUGGCGAAAUGUUGAAAGGCGGCUUCGGCUGUCACUACGAGAUGGGCCCGCGGCGCAUUAGCUAGUUGGUAGGGUAAUGGCCUACCAAGGCGACGAUGCGUAGCCGACCUGAGAGGGUGAUCGGCCACACUGGGACUGAGACACGGCCCAGACUCCUACGGGAGGCAGCAGUAGGGAAUCUUCCACAAUGGACGAAAGUCUGAUGGAGCAACGCCGCGUGAGUGAAGAAGGUUUUCGGAUCGUAAAACUCUGUUGUAAGGGAAGAACACGUACGAGAGUAACUGCUCGUACCUUGACGGUACCUUAUUAGAAAGCCACGGCUAA
rnacentral:rRNA from 1 species